GUGGAUUAGAUACCCUGGUAGUCCACGCCGUAAACGAUGAUAACUAGCUAUUGGGGCACAUGGUGCUUCGGUGGCGCAGCUAACGCAUUAAGUUAUCCGCCUGGGGAGUACGGUCGCAAGAUUAAAACUCAAAGGAAUUGACGGGGGCCUGCACAAGCGGUGGAGCAUGUGGUUUAAUUCGAAGCAACGCGCAGAACCUUACCAGCCUUUGACAUCCUGGUCGCGGAUUAGAGAGAUCUUUUCCUUCAGUUCGGCUGGACCAGUGACAGGUGCUGCACGGUCGUCGACAGCU
rnacentral:rRNA from 1 species